UACGGAGGGGGCUAGCGUUGUUCGGAAUUACUGGGCGUAAAGCGCACGUAGGCGGCUUUGCAAGUUAGAGGUGAAAGCCCGGGGCUCAACUCCGGAAUUGCCUUUGAGACUGAGUGGCUUGAGUACGAGAGAGGUGAGUGGAAUUCCCAGUGUAGAGGUGAAAUUCGUAGAUAUUGGGAAGAACACCGGUGGCGAAGGCGGCUCACUGGCUCGUAACUGACGCUCAUGCACGACAGCGUGGGGAUCAAACAGG
rnacentral:rRNA from 1 species